UACGUAGGGUGCAAGCGUUAAUCGGAAUUACUGGGCGUAAAGCGUGCGCAGGCGGUUCGGAAAGAAAGGUGUGAAAUCCCAGGGCUUAACCUUGGAACUGCACUUUUAACUACCGGGCUAGAGUACGUCAGAGGGGGGUAGAAUUCCACGUGUAGCAGUGAAAUGCGUAGAGAUGUGGAGGAACACCGAUGGCGAAGGCAGCCCCCUGGGUCAAGAUUGACGCUCAUGCACGAAAGCGUGGGGAGCAAACAGG
rnacentral:rRNA from 1 species